rnacentral:tRNA from 1 species
GGAAAUAAAGCAUUUUAUUGAUGCAUAUCUUUUACGAUGAUAAUAAGCUACUAGAUAGCUGUUUCCU